UACGUAGGCAGCGAGCGUUGUUCGGAGUUACUGGGCGUAAAGGGUGUGUAGGCGGUUGUUUAAGUUUGGUGUGAAAUCUCCCGGCUCAACUGGGAGGGUGCGCCGAAUACUGAAUGACUAGAGUGCGGGAGAGGAAAGUGGAAUUCCUGGUGUAGCGGUGAAAUGCGUAGAUAUCAGGAAGAACACCUAUGGCGAAGGCAGCUCUCUGGGACGGUACUGACGCUGAGACGCGAAAGCGUGGGGAGCGAACAGG
rnacentral:rRNA from 1 species